rnacentral:rRNA from 1 species
GGUGAACGCUGGCGGCGUGCUUAAGACAUGCAAGUCGAACGGGCUCUUCGGAGCCAGUGGCGCACGGGUGAGUAACGCGUAACUGACCUACCCCAAAGUCGCGGAUAACGAUUCGAAAGAAUCGCUAAUACGUGAUGUGCUGUCAGAUCCUGUUCUGCCAGUAAAGAUUUAUUGCUUUGGGAUGGGGUUGCGUUCCAUCAGCUAGUUGGUGGGGUAAAGGCCCACUAAGGCGACGACGGAUCGCCGGCCUGAGAGGGUGGCCGGCCUCAGGGGCACUGAGACACGGGUCCCACUCCUACGGGAGGCAGCAGUUAGGAAUCUUCCACAAUGGGCGAAAGCCUGAUGGAGCGACGCCGCGUGAGGGAUGAAGGUCUUCGGAUCGUAAACCUCUGAAUCAGGGACGAAAGACGCGAAAGCGGGAUGACGGUACCUGAGUAAUAGCACCGGCUAACUCCGUG